rnacentral:rRNA from 1 species
GACGAACGCUGGCGGUGUGCUUAACACAUGCAAGUCGAACGGAAACGCCCUGCUUUUGUGGUGUGCCCGAGUGGCGAUCGGGUGAGUAACAGGUAAGUAACGUGCCCUAGAUUUUGGGAUGACUUCAGGAAACUGGGGGUAAUCUCAUAUAGGAGACCCCCUUGCAUUGUAGGCGUUGGAUCGUCUAGGUGGGCGGGGAUGGAUUCGCGGCUUAUCAGCUUGUUGGUGGGGUAGUGGCUUACCAAGGCAUUGACGGAUAGGCCGCCUGAGAGGGUGACCGGGCACCUGGGGACUGCGGUACGCCCCAGAGUGCUACAGUAGGCAGCAGUGGGAAAUAUUGCACAAUGAUCGGAAGCCUGAGGCGACAACGCCGCGGGCGGAAUGACGGCCUUCGGGUAGUGAACCGCUUUCGCCUGUGACGACGCGUGAGUGACGGUAAUGAGUAAAGAAGCACCGGCUAACUACGUG